AUAAUAAUAACGGCGUAAAGCACGACUAACACUAAGUCUAAACAUUAGGGACGAAGCUAAGCUGGGCUGUAAAAAGCCAUAAGUCACACCAACCCAACCCUAAUAACUAAACGGCUUCCACUCGUGAAAGUUAGGGUACAAACUAAGAUUAGAUACCUUACUAUGCCUAACCAUAACACAACAAUUAAAUCACUUAUUGUUCGCCAAAUAACUACGAGUAAAAACUUAAAAUUUAAAAGACUUGACGGUACCUCAAAACAACCUAGAGGAGCCUGUCUAAUAACCGAUACUCCACGAUUAACCCAACCCACUCUGGCCCAACAGCCUAUAUACCGCCGUCGCCAGCCUACCUUGUGAAAGAAACAAAGUGGGCCAAACAGCCCCCACUAAUACGACAGGUCGAGGUGUAGCUAAUGGGUGGGUCAAAGAUGGGCUACAUUUUCUAACACAGAAAACACGAAUUGAUCUAUGAAAUAAAAACUGAAGGCGGAUUUAGCAGUAUGCUGGGAACAACAUACCCGGCUGAAAUUAAUGCAAUGAGGUGCGUACACACCGCCCGUCAUCCCUGUUAACACAACUAAAAAGUACAUAAC
rnacentral:rRNA from 1 species